rnacentral:lncRNA from 1 species
CACCUUUCUCAUUCCUCUCAACCUUUUCUCUUUCAUCUCUUUCACUCCAACCUUUUCUCUGUCAUCCCUACUCUAGCCCCAAUUGAAAAAAAUCAGAAACACUUGCCUUAUUUUAAUAAUUUUCAUUCUCAAAACUAAAAAAAGAAACCCCAAAUUCUUACUCACCUCCUUCAUUCCUCUCAACCAUUUCUCCUUCAUCUCUCUCACUCAAACAUUUUCUCUGUCAUCUCUGCACUAGUCCCAACUAAAAAAACACUCAUUAUUAAACGAUUUACAUUUGUAAAGAGUUGAGUCAUUGACAUAUUCAUCUUUCGAAAAAAGUUCAUUCAAAUUCUCUUUAACUUUAUUAUCUUCACUAUAUAUAUUACAGUCGACGGCCACAACUUGCACCAAGACUUAUG